rnacentral:tRNA from 1 species
CCCGACUUAGCUCAGACUGGCUAGAGCGGCUGACUGUAGUAUGGGAUACCGGCACGACCGGUCUCAGUCGCUGAGAUCAGCAGGCCCCCGGUUCAAAUCCGGGAGUCGGGA